rnacentral:sRNA from 1 species
GAGGUGUCGACGAUGGUGACGGGGACGCGGGCGGGGAAGUAGUCGACGGGGAGGCGGGCGGGUGGCAAGACGCGGGCGACGCCGUCGUCCUGAUCGGGGAACCUCCCGGUGGCGAUGGUGGCGACGAGGCUGGACUUGCCGGUGCCAUGGUCGCCGAUGACGGCGACCCGCACGUCCAGCUUGGCCGCC